UUCCAACUGACAAGACUCAAAUAGGACGAAACGUACGUCCUGGAU
rnacentral:hammerhead_ribozyme from 1 species